UACGGGGGGGGCAAGCGUUGUUCGGAAUUACUGGGCGUAAAGGGCUCGUAGGCGGCCAACUAAGUCAGACGUGAAAUCCCUCGGCUUAACCGGGGAACUGCAUCUGAUACUGGAUGGCUUGAGUUCGGGAGAGGGAUGCGGAAUUCCAGGUGUAGCGGUGAAAUGCGUAGAUAUCUGGAGGAACACCGGUGGCGAAGGCGGCAUCCUGGACCGACACUGACGCUGAGGAGCGAAGCCAGGGGAGCAAACGGG
rnacentral:rRNA from 1 species